rnacentral:rRNA from 1 species
GAUGAACGCUGGCGGCGCGCCUAACACAUGCAAGUCGAACGAUUAAAGCACCUUCGGGUGUGUAUAAAGUGGCGAACGGCUGAGUAACACGUGGGCAACCUGCCCCUUUCAUUGGGAUAGCCACGGGAAACCGUGGAUAAUACCGAAUACUUCGAGACUUCCGCAUGGAAGACUCGAGAAAGCUCCGGCGGAGAGGGAUGGGCCCGCGGCCUGUUAGCUUGUUGGUGGGGUAACGGCCUACCAAGGCAAUGAUGGGUAGCUGGGUUGAGAGACCGACCAGCCAGAUUGGGACUGAGACACGGCCCAGACUCCUACGGGUGGCAGCAGUGGGGAAUCUUGCACAAUGGGCGAAAGCCUGAUGCAGCGACGCCGCGUGCGGGAUGAAGGCCUUCGGGUUGUAAACCGCUUUCAGCAGGGACGAGGCGAAAGUGACGGUACCUGCAGAAGAAGCCCCGGCUAACUACGUG